GGUUCCUUCCCCACUCUGAACUCUAGGGUAGAGAUGUGGGGACCUGCAUGGAAGACCCCCCUAAGCAUAUUCUUACCAGCGUCGGUUAAAACUUCCCCAAGGCACAGAUUUCUUUCUUGCCUUUUCUUUUAACCCUAUGC